rnacentral:rRNA from 1 species
AGGGGGUUUGAUCAUGGGGGCUCAGAAUGAACGCUGGCGGCGUGCCUAACACAUGCAAGUCGUGCGCGAAAGUCGACUUCGGUCGGCGAGUAGAGCGGCGAACGGGUGAGUAACACGUGGGUAACCUGCCUGGGAGUGGGGGAUAACCUGGGGAAACUCGGGCUAAUACCGCAUACGUUCAAGGUGCUUCGGCACUUUGAGGAAAGCUGGCCUCUACAUGUAAGCCAGCACUCUCAGAGGGACCCGCGCCCGAUUAGCUUGUCGGUGGGGUAACGGCCCACCAAGGCUGCAAUCGGUAGCCGGCCUGAGAGGGCGAUCGGCCACACUGGGACUGAGACACGGCCCAGACUCCUACGGGAGGCAGCAGUGGGGGAUAUUGGACAAUGGGCGCAAGCCUGAUCCAGCAACGCCGCGUGGAGGACGAAGGCCUUCGGGUCGUUAAACUCCUGUCAGUUGGGAAGAAAAGCUGUUGUUUUAAUAGACAGCAGUCAUGACGGU